ensembl:lncRNA
GCUCCUGCAUCAACCGCCCCCCCGCCCCCGGCGGAGGACGCAGGGCUGGCAGUACCACCAGGAGGAGCGAAGCAGAGCGCAGCAACACCAGCAGCCGAAAUAGCUCAGUUGGGAGAGCGUUAGACUGAAGAUCUAAAGGUCCCUGGUUCGAUCCCGGGUUUCGGCAGUUCCGUUUUUUUCCCCCAGAUGAAAGGGGGCUAAAAAAAUACAACGCCGGAAGAGACGUAGUCAAUUCUUUCCAAUCAGUUAAUGGGUUUCAGUUUAUUUAAAAAAGCUCGGAGCGGUAUCCAUGGGAAACCGGAGCGGAGGGAAACUUUUUGGCAAUCCAGGGAACUCCAACAAGGCUGUGUUUUUCUUGACUCCUUUUCUCCCAUUUUGUAAACGCGUAUUAAUCUCUGUGACAUGUUUGCUGAUAUCUGCUCGUUAAUUUUGGCUUCCUGUUUAUUAAUUUCUGCUCCCCGAAUCCUGGCGACUGAAUCAAGGAUGGAGCCAGGAACAGGCUCGCUAAGAUGAAGUUAAAUCGAGGGGGACUUUUGUUUUUCGGUUUUGAAGAAAAAAGAAUAAAACGUGAAGCCCUUUGAUGUGUGUUCGUACGCAGCGGAACUUGAAUGUGCCUUAAAAAGAGUACCUGAAGGGCUCGAGACGGAGCUGGUCCUCGUUAGUAUAGUGACCAAAUUCUUCCACUUUUGUAGAAACUCCUUACUCUGGGAAAAUCAACUUGACUGGCCGGCGGGAUUCGGCCUGGAGGGCCUGGAGGGCCUGGUGGCCAUCAAGGUCCAGUUUCCUAGUGUCACAUGGUUACGGGAAAGACCAACUUCUCGCAGUGCGGCGGUAUUUCCCACCUCCUGCAAGCCCACAGUGGCUGUGAAGUGGUCGGUUUGGACGGUGCUGUCCCCGAACAAGACUGCCAACUUCCAAGGCCAGGAAAUGCUCCUUUUGCUGCAAAUAAUUCCAUCCUUUCGUAUCUUGCUCAGGGCCCAGGCUGGCCCUUAAAAAUAGCUUAUGGAUUUGAGACAGAAGAGGCUAAGGGGAGCUGUUAGCAGAAAAAUGUAAAGGCGAAGAUCAUCUGAUGACUAAAACCACAGCCCGGGUGAGGAAGAUCAACUGGGGAAGUCACGGACCUGUUCCUGGUAUUGUGACUGCAGUGAAAGGCCCCCAGCACUCGUGACUGAUUCCUCGCCAUCAGAGGGCAAGUAUGGAAAGUCUGACUGUGUUGGCCCUUGCCCUUUAUUUGUGCUGUUAAUAACCAACCAGUUUGGGAGUGACCCAAAAGGAAACCAGCAUUCCUGGCAGGCAGGAUUUUGCUUCCUGCAUCAGUGACAGGUCACAAAUCGAAUGAAUGAAUGAAUGAAUGAAUGAAUGAAUGAAUGAAUGAAUGGCUUUGAUGCACAUACUGUUCACGUUUAUAUUUAUACACGAUUUGUAUUUUAUCAUUAAAGAUCAAAGAUGUAUUUUAUUGAAAGAAGAGAUUCUGUUGCAUUCUGCGGGUUCAGUUCUUUGCCUGCAGUAAUAAUGAAUUCCUCACCCAUCAAAUCCUGUUUCUCAUGUGACUUGACCUCAUAUUUGAAAGCAUAAAAACUUCUCAUCUUAGAUCUGGAGGGAUGUGACUCUCUGCACAGCGUUCCCUUUUGAGAUGAAACUGAAAUUUGUGAGAUGACUCACCCGCUGGGUGGUGGCGUUUUGGUGACAGCUCCUGUUGCGAAU